UUUCAAUGUCAGAUGGAAGGAGACCAAGCCAUCUUAUAGCAGGAACUGUGAGAUGAUGGGCUUCAAAAGACAUUGACUACAAUGCAAAAUGUCAUAUAUUAUGUUCAGUGUCUUUAACUAGUAUUAUUUAUAUUUGUUUCUGAGAAAAUAUUUAUGUGUUAGGUCAAAUUUUGAAAAAAUGAUGCUAACUAGAAUUCUCUAUGAAACUCAGGCUUGUAGAAAUUGAGACAAGUAGUUGUAAUAGGUAAACCACAACACAAGGAGGGAAAAGGGGGUACAUUAAAUUCCAGCUGGGUGUACCACUUCUUGCAUUCUUUUGCCCAGAGAACUGUGCAGUGGAUAGUCUGCCCCCUUCAGCCAUGAGUGCUUGAGAAGAGCCUGUCAAAAACUCAAGUCAGUUGGAGCUGAGACAAGCAGCUAAAGUCUGGAAAAGUAACCAGAGGGCAUGGUUACGCUACCUGCCAGAUCGACAGACAGUGAUCGAGCUAUGUGAUAAAUCAACCACCGAGUGCUCUUCCAUCAACUCCAGUACUCCACCAGAACGAGAAGCAUAGAAGGCAUACUUUAUCCUGUAUAACCUGCUGUGAAGCAAAGGUAUAAAGGAAUCCUACAACCAUGAGGCAUCGUUCAAAAAUAUCUGUUGCUACUUGUAUGUGGAAUCACACGGUCACUGAACAAUAAUGCAGCUCUCCAUUUUUCUUUGUUUUAGCCAGGGAAAAAUGCCAUUGGAGUUCAUCCUACAUGACAACAUAUGCUAACUGUGUUUAGAGAGGAAAAAAAUGUUUCAAAUUUCAAGGCAGGAAACAAGUACAACAUUUGAAAGUAUGCCAUGUUCCUAUACAUUCUUCUGUGUAUCAUUAAAGCGUCCCCCAUUGUUUGUGCUGGAAUGUCUCCAAAUCUGGAUCAUUCCUUCACUGAGAGUUCUGAGUGUGCACAGAAUGCCAGACUGCGACCAACAUGGCAAAGAGAAAUCAGAACUAUUUGGGGCUGUGAUGGAGUUGAAUCACAGAAUGGGAAGGAACCUUGAGAGGUCAUCAAAUCCUG